GAAUUGACGGGGGCCCGCACAAGCGGUGGAGCAUGUGGUUUAAUUCGAUGCAACGCGAAGAACCUUACCUGGUCUUGACAUCCACGGAAGUUUUCAGAGAUGAGAAUGUGCCUUCGGGAACCGUGAGACAGGUGCUGCAUGGCUGUCGUCAGCUCGUGUUGUGAAAUGUUGGGUUAAGUCCCGCAACGAGCGCAACCCUUAUCCUUUGUUGCCAGCGGUCCGGCCGGGAACUCAAAGGAGACUGCCAGUGAUAAACUGGAGGAAGGUGGGGAUGACGUCAAGUCAUCAUGGCCCUUACGACCAGGGCUACACACGUGCUACAAUGGCGCAUACAAAGAGAAGCGACCUCGCGAGAGCAAGCGGACCUCAUAAAGUGCGUCGUAGUCCGGAUUGGAGUCUGCAACUCGACUCCAUGAAGUCGGAAUCGCUAGUAAUCGUGGAUCAGAAUGCCACGGUGAAUACGUUCCCGGGCCUUGU
rnacentral:rRNA from 1 species